UCUCUCUUUCUCUCUCUCUCCCCCCCUCUCGCUCUCUCUUUAAAAAAAAAAAAAAAAAAACUUUUAUGAGCAAGUUCAUUCAAAAUUUAAGGAAACAAUAAGAAUUAGUCUUAGAUCUUUUUUAAAAAAAUCAAAACAUAACAGCAUAAAAUAAGCCUUCCAGGUCAUUUAACAAAAUUAGCAUAAUCAGGGCUGGGAUUGUGGCUCAGGGGUAAAGCACUUGCCUUGCAUGUGUGAAGCACUGGGUUUGAUUCUCAGCACCGCAUAUAAAUAAAUGAAUAAAAUAAAGGUCCAUCAACAUCUAAAAAAUAUAUUUUUAAAAAUUAGCAUAAUCAAGUUAUAAAAACUCAAUGAAGAUUAAAAAAUGAAAACAGUAACCAUUGUUCUCAACAGGGAAAAAGGGUGACAUGAAAACCACUUAGAGUGGGGAUUCUGGGAAGAUGAGGGUGGCACGUGGGUGUUUUUUUUUUUCCAUAUUUCUAGAUCCCCACAUGAAGCAAGCACAAUUAGAAUGCAAAACCAAAAGAGCAUAAACUAUAGUAGAAUCUUAUUUUGUGAUAAGGUGUUAACAUGAAAGUCAAAAUUUGAGUAGAAAGGGAUAAAUCACUAGCUACAUAACUUGAGUGACCUCAGAAUGCAAAAAUGGACGCAAGAGGAAAAGAACAGAUAUAAGACACAGAAGCAAUCAGAGCAUCUUCCAGACCUGAGAAUGUGAGGAUCCAGAUCUCCCAGCAGGAACUCUGCAAGCCUGGCAGAGCUGCCUGGGGGAGAGCAUGUGUAUGCUCCAGGGGACCAGGGAGCUCCAGGGCUCAGAUGAGGGCUGCGGAGCCCCAGGAACUCACCACCCAAACUCCCUUCAGGAAAACCUAGGCCCGAGGAGACAGUGCUGGGUAGAACUCACACUGAGAAGCCUGGAGCAGAAGGGCAAAGAAGGAUCCAAUGAAAAGGAAUUGGGAAGUCACUGAAAGAACAGAAGGGGGAGUUCUAGAAUCCUGAGGCUAGAAAAACUGUUGUGCAUCAGCCACCUAAGCCCUAAAGUUCAGAUACCUACUUUUCUUUCUUAAAAAAAAAAAAA
rnacentral:lncRNA from 1 species